rnacentral:rRNA from 1 species
UACGUAGGCAGCAAGCGUUGUUCGGAAUUACUGGGCGUAAAGAGUGUGUAGGCGGUGUUCUAAGUUUGUCGUGAAAUCUCCCGGCUUAACUGGGAGGGUGCGGCGAAAACUGGAAUGCUAGAGGAUGGGAGAGGUAGGCGGAAUUCCUGGUGUAGCGGUGAAAUGCGUAGAUAUCAGGAGGAACACCUGUGGUGUAGACAGCUUACCGGACCAUUUCUGACGCUGAGACACGAAAGCGUGGGUAGCAAACAGG